GCACGAGAUUUUUCCUUCUAAAAAUGGUGGUCCCAAAGAAGCUUGCGAUCCAAGUUGUUUGUGCACUGAUUUGCAGCGAAAAACCUAAAAAGAAAAAGAAUAUGGAUGAGAGAAUGGUUGGGGAGAUGCGGGCAGCAAGGAUUGUCUGUUCUGCAGAGAGAGUUGGAGACUGGGUUCAGGGAGCUGCUGCGGGUGACAGCCGAGGAGUUUGAUUUCCUGCUGGGGAUGGUCAGACCCCUCAUAACCAAGCAGCACACAAAAAUGAGACGGGCAAAAUCUUUGACCAUGCGGUUUUUGGCAACAGGUGAAACAUUCAGUUCCCUCAGCUUACAGUAUAGAGCACUAUUUCACAGAUAUUAAAGGAGACCUGUGCCGCUCUGUACCAGGUCAUGAAAAAAGACUUACUGAAGACACCAUCAACAGAGGAAAAAUGGCGGACAAAAGCCCAUAACUUUGAAUCGAAAUGGCAAUUUCCACAUUGCCUUGGUGCGCUUGAUGGAAAACAUCCAUAUACAGCCUCCAGCAAAAAGUGGCAGAUUUACCAUAAUUAUAAGGCCAGAUUCUCUGUGAUAAUGAUGGCUGCUGUGGAUGUAAAUUACAAGUUCAUCUAUGCCAGUGUGGGUACCCAAGAUAGGGUCUCUGAUGCUGGACUGUUCGCUCACUCGGACCUGUGCAAAGCGAUGGAUCAGGGCCUGCUGAACUUUCCUCUACGUGAACCAUUGCCCAACUGUGACAUAACAAUGCCAUACAUGUUUUUGGGUGAUGAGGCAUAUCCUUUAAGGCCUAACUUCAUGAAGCCGUAUCCAUACAGGCAGAUGGACCACAGUCAACAGGUACUGAAUUACCGUCUCUAAAGGGCAUAGAGAGGGGUAGGAAAUGCUUAUGGUAUUCUUGCAAACAGGUUGAGGAUUUUCAGGAACACCAUAUGCUUGGAGCCAGACAAAGUGGUUAAGAUAACUAUGGCCUCCCCAUGCAUCCAUAACUCCCUCCGCGAGCGCAGGUAUGAGGCUUAUACACCUCCAGCCUUUGAAGAUUGGGAGACUGAUGACCACAGCAUAGUUGAGGGAACCUGAAGGAAUCAAGGGAUUGGGACUUUCCAGCCGGUGGAGUAUAGAAGGAAACGUAACGCAGCAGUUACGGCAAAAAUGCAACGAAACCUUUUGUGUGAUUAUUUUGUCACACCUGCAGGUUGUGUUCUUUGGCAGGAGGAACACAUUUAGUAUUGAAGGGAUUUCAGAGGAAUAUUUUUGUAGUGGAGAAAACUGUGUGUGUGAUUCUCUGUCACUUUAUUACUGCAUUGCCUUUUAAGGACCUUUUAUUUAUUUUUUAUUUUUUAUUCAAGAAAAGUGCCUUUACUAAAAAAUAUUAUUGUGGUUCUGUUAUUGAUCUUAGAGCUUUGAUACAGAAUGUCUUGUAUUGUAUAUACAAGUUGCUUAUACUUUGACAUCAUUUUUUCAAUUGCAUGUUAAGAAACGUCUUGGUUACUGAUGUAACCUCUGUUCCCUGAUGGAGGGAAUGAGACGUUGUGUCGAUGUAGUGAC